rnacentral:rRNA from 1 species
GACGAACGCUGGCGCCGCCCUAACCACAGGCAGUCCGAACGGAUCCAGGGGGAGCUUGCUUUCUUGGCCUUGGUGCCGAACGGGUGGUUAACCCGGGGUUAACUUGCCUGGGGUGGGGGGCCACCGUUGGAAACGGCUGCUAAUUCCGCCAUAGCCCCCCGGUCUUCCUUGGACUUCCGGGAAAAGGAUUUAUUCGCUCUAGGAUGGACUCGCGCCCAAUUAGCUAGUUGGUGAGGUAACGGCCCACCAAGGCGACGAUUGGUAGCCGGACUGAGAGGUUGAACGGCCACAUUGGGACUGAGACACGGCCCAGACUCCUACGGGAGGCAGCAGUGGGGGAUAUUGCACAAUGGGGGAAACCCUGAUGCAGCGACGCCGCGUGGAGGAAGAAGGUUUUCGGAUUGUAAACUCCUGUCGUUAGGGACGAUAAUGACGGUACCUAACAAGAAAGCACCGGCUAACUACGUG